UACGGAGGGUGCGAGCGUUGUCCGGAAUCACUGGGCGUAAAGGGUGCGCAGGCGGCCAAGUGUGUGAGGCGUGAAAGCCCGGGGCUUAACUCCGGAAUUGCACCUCAAACUACAUGGCUAGAGCAUUGGAGAGGGUAGCAGAAUUCACGGUGUAGCAGUGAAAUGCGUAGAUAUCGUGAGGAAUACCAGAGGCGAAGGCGGCUACCUGGACAAUUGCUGACGCUCAGGCACGAAAGCGUGGGGAGCAAAAGGG
rnacentral:rRNA from 1 species